UGCAGCCAAGAUGAGGUAACAGGUGCGUCAAGGUUAAGCAGUCCAAGUAUCACAGCAGGUAAGCUGCAGAAGCAGGCCACAGAAUAAGGGAAAUAACAAGGUCAGGUCUGAUAUUUCACAGAUGAAGAAUUGGAUGGGGGGACGGGGCUGGGACAGUAUUGGGGUUCCCCUACUGAGUCCUUCCUAGGUUAACAGAUGGGGAAGCUGAGACCCAGAGAUGAGGAGGCCUUUGGGUAGGGUCACAGAGAAUUGAUGACAGGGACUCCAGAGCCCCCUUGGAGGGCCCCAAGAAGUUGAGCCAGGCAGAGUGUGAAGAGAAGGUGGCCUAAGGGGUCCAGGGUCCCUCUCUCACUUCAGAAAGAGCACAGACUGUGGCAUCAGGUUGAGCUGAUUCUGCUGCUUCCAAGCUUUUUGGCUGUGGCAGGUCAUUUCACUUCUGAGUCUCAGUCUCCUCAUGUCCCUAAAAAGAAUAAUCAUACCUUCCCAAUGAGAUUGAUGUUGAAAGCAAAAAUAACCCAAAUGGGGAAC
rnacentral:lncRNA from 1 species